CCUACGGGAGGCAGCAGUGAGGAAUAUUGGUCAAUGGGUGCAAGCCUGAACCAGCCAUCCCGCGUGAAGGACGACUGCCCUAUGGGUUGUAAACUUCUUUUGUAUAGGGAUAAACCUACCCUCGUGAGGGUAGCUGAAGGUACUAUACGAAUAAGCACCGGCUAACUCCGUGCCAGCAGCCGCGGUAAU
rnacentral:rRNA from 1 species